rnacentral:rRNA from 1 species
AGCGACCAUAGGAGUAUGGAAACGCCCGAUCCCAUUUCGAACUCGGAAGCUAAGCAUGCUCACGAUGUUGUCUGUACUGC